CUACACAUGCAAGUCGAGGGGUAACAGGGGGUGCUUGCACUCUGCUGACGACCGGCGCACGGGUGCGUAACGCGUAUGCAACCUACCUCAUACUGGAGCAUAGCCCUUGGAAACGGGGAUUAAUACUCCAUGGUAUCAUGAAUUCGCAUGUUUUCAUGAUUAAAGAAUUUCGGUAUGAGAUGGGCAUGCGUCCCAUUAGCUAGUUGGUGAGGUAACGGCUCACCAAGGCGACGAUGGGUAGGGGGCCUGAGAGGGUGGUCCCCCACACUGGUACUGAGACACGGACCGGACUCCUACGGGAGGCAGCAGUGAGGAAUAUUGGUCAAUGGAGGCAACUCUGAACCAGCCAUGCCGCGUGAAGGAUGACGGCCCUAUGGGUUGUAAACUUCUUUUAUAUGGGAAGAAACUUAUCUACGUGUAGAUAACUGACGGUACCAUACGAAUAAGGAUCGGCUAACUCCGUGCCAGCAGCCGCGGUAAUAUGGAGGAUCCAAGCGUUAUCCGGAUUCAUUGGGUUUAAAGGGUCCGUAGGCGGAUUUUUAAGUCAGUGGUGAAAGCCGACAGCUCAACUGUCGAACUGCCAUUGAUACUGGAAAUCUUGAGUACAAAUGAAGUAGGCGGAAUGAGUCAUGUAGCGGUGAAAUGCAUAGAUAUGACUCAGAACACCAAUUGCGAAGGCAGCUUACUAACAUGUAACUGACGCUGAGGGACGAAAGCGUGGGGAGCGAACAGGAUUAGAUACCCUGGUAGUCCACGCCGUAAACGAUCAUCACUCGCUGUUGGCGAUAUACAGUCAGCGGCCAAGCGAAAGUAUUAAGUGAUGCACCUGGGGAGUACGCCGGCAACGGUGAAACUCAAAGGAAUUGACGGGGGCCCG
rnacentral:rRNA from 1 species